ACCAAGUCCCCAACGCUGUCACCGGCCGGACCUACGACUAUACUAAGAUGAGUCUUCAUCUCUAAAAGCUUCUGUAAACUAUAUAAUGGAUCUAUUAUUCUAACCAGCAAUGAAUUUAAGUAGCAAUUUCGUUUCUCGAUGGUUAGUUGUAUAAUUGCCUGCCAACACUGACACUAAUUGCCACUCAACCAUGACCAUCAAUUUAAUUUGACUUAUUAAUUUUGAUACAACAAAAAUUACUUCAACUUGCCAUGUGGAAAAUCCAGUUAGAGCAUAUCCAUGUGUAUGUUUCCUAUGAAUGGUACGGGAUUUACAAACUUAAAAGAUACUACAUAUUUGACAAAUAUUUUUAACCAAAAAUGUUUGAAUUAUUUGUUCUGAUAUGGAUGUUUGACUGAUUGCAAUGAUGAUUGUUCGUAGUUUUUUCGAACUGUGUAAGCAUAGAUUUACAUUUUGUAGACCCGGUGCAACGCACAGGGAUUUUAUUACAUGAAAGGACUUAUUAUCCUGACAGUCAUAAUUUCAAGAUUUUCAUAAGUGUUUGUUUAUUUGUUUGUUGUCUGCCAUGUUAAGAAUUGCAUGCAUGCUUUUAUUGAUAUAAAAUGUGCUUCAGAAAAUCACGUGUUAUGAAUCCAUGCUAUAAUUUUGAAGGUGAACAUACAGAAAAUGCAAGAUAAAACAUACUAAUAUAACAACUAUUACAAUUUUAGAGAAGAUAAAGAUCCAGAAUUGUUCGUACCUAGAGGAACUCGCCUUCUAGAUGGUCCUUGCUUACACAAGGUACUCCUUGGGUAAUUUUCCUCCAGGUCUGCUGUUGUGAUGGCCGAACGAACAGCAAGGAGGGGGAGGACGGAUGGCAGACAAGGUUAACAUAUAUAGUUGUAAUAUCUGAGAGACCACACAAGUUCGAUGAAUUCUUUCAAUUCGAGUUUCUCCAUGGUUUCCCAAUGCCAAAGAUUUUAUUAUGAAGCUAAGCUUCUAGACACACAUCUGUUCUGGUUGUUAUGUGUAUGAAUUGACAUUAAGCAUGAAGCUAUUUCGACUGUGUAAGUGUGUUAAUUUAUCAACAAAACCUUGGUGAAUCGACAAUCAGGGGGAGCCUUGAUGCCUUCUCAUGUAA